rnacentral:misc_RNA from 1 species
UGAAAUCCGAGGACGAGUGAGGA